GCCUUCGUGGCGCAAUUGGAUAGCGCGUUGGACUUCUAAUCCAAAGGUUGCGGGUUCGAAUCCCGCCGGAGGUACU
rnacentral:tRNA from 1 species